GACGAACGCUGGCGGCGUGCUUAACACAUGCAAGUCGAACGGAAAGGCUCCAGCUUGCUGGAGUACUCGAGUGGCGAACGGGUGAGUAACACGUGGGUAAUCUGCUCUGCACUCUGGGAUAAGCCUGGGAAACUGGGUCUAAUACUGGAUAUGACCUUUCUCCUUAUGGGGUUUGGUGGAAAGUUUUUCGGUGUAGGAUGAGCCCGCGGCCUAUCAGCUUGUUGGUGGGGUGAUGGCCUACCAAGGCGACGACGGGUAGCCGGCCUGAGAGGGUGAUCGGCCACAUUGGGACUGAGAUACGGCCCAGACUCCUACGGGAGGCAGCAGUGGGGAAUAUUGCACAAUGGGCGGAAGCCUGAUGCAGCGACGCCGCGUGAGGGAUGACGGCCUUCGGGUUGUAAACCUCUUUCAGCAGGGACGAAGCGUAAGUGACGGUACCUGCAGAAGAAGCACCGGCUAACUAUGUG
rnacentral:rRNA from 1 species